AGGACGAACGCUGGCGGCGUGCUUAACACAUGCAAGUCGAGCGGAAAGGCCCUUCGGGGUACUCGAGCGGCGAACGGGUGAGUAACACGUGGGCAACCUGCCCCUAGCUCUGGGAUAACUCCGGGAAACCGGGGCUAAUACCGGAUACGAUCUUCCAUGGCAUCUCGGAAGAUGGAAGGUUUUUUCGGCUAGGGAUGGGCCCGCGGCCUAUCAGCUUGUUGGUGAGGUAACGGCCACCAAGGCGACGACGGGUAGCCGGCCUGAGACGGGCGACGGCCACGACUGGGACUGGAGACACGGCCCAGACUCCACGGGAGCAGCAGUGGGAAUAUUGCGCAAGUGGCGAAAGCCUGACGCAGCGACGCGCGUGAGGGAUGGAAGGUCCGUUGGGUAGUAACCGUUCUUCAGCGAGGACGAAGCGGAGAGUGACGGUACUGACAGAAGACGCGACCG
rnacentral:rRNA from 1 species